UGGUCCUUAUUAAUAAUGAGAUGAUGUUAAAACAGGUCAGUUUUUAAUUUUUUUUAUUCCGAUUCUGCCCUUAAAGCCAAAUAUAUGUUUAUAGCUUUAUAGUCAAAAAUAGAGCGCAAAUCUUCUCUCCAUUUUGAUCAGAAUUCCCAGAGCUUCGAUUAGAAAUCCAAAAGGUAGAAGACGAAUUUCAAACUUCACCUGGCGUCAUUGCCCAAACCCGAUCGGUCACCUACAUGCCCCGACCCAACGACGGAGCUCUGAGUGCCAAAACAUAACCCCCGGCGACGGAAUCGGACCGCUCGUAAUGAACGCCGUCGAGCAGGUGAUGGAGUCUCUCGUCGCGAACGAGAGUUGCAGCACAUUUUGCGUGUUCUGAACACCAAUGUGGAUGGAAAUCAGAAGAUCAUGUUCGCUCUGACCUCCAUCAAGGGUAUCGGUCGCCGUUUAGCCAACAUCGUCUGCAAGAAGGCCGAUGUCGACAUGAACAGGAGGCGUUGAUGUUGCUAUUGAACAUCUUGGAACAACAAUAACAGGCGCUUCGCUUUAUAUAUACAGAUACAGAUGCAGCUAGCGUGGGUUUUGUAAACCAAACCGCCCUGCGAAGUUGGAGAAAAAACCCUCCGUGUCGAGAAAUUUAGCUCUUUCCGUUCCUUCUCUGCAAACUCGAUUAUCAACAGGUAAUUCACAUCCCUGAUUUGUUGUGUAGAUAGAUUUGGGAUUUCUCUGAAUUGCAGAUAUUUUUCUCAAGAGUUGCAACUUGGUUACAGCUAAAAUUUAUGGGAAGCUAAAUUUGGUAGGUGAUAGGAAGUGAUUAGGUGAAAUUGGUUAUGCAUAAAAAGUGAGGCUGAAAGAGUUUGUUGUCUAAGUUUCAGAUGUUCAAUUUCUUUUCUUUUUUUGUUUUUAAGUUGUAUGCUGAGGUUUUUAAGCUUUGGCGUUAAUUUUUCCCUUGUGCUAUUGACCUAAUGUAAUGAGCUAAGAACCAGGGGUACUUAUAUAUAGUUGCUUCUUGGCUACCAUCUGCGGAGUGAGUAUCCUGAGAAGAAUAAAAGGAAACUUUGUGAAUCUUCAUUGCUGAAAAGGAAAAGGAUUAUGGGACAUGGAAACCAGAUCUAGGGGAAGAUGCUGGUACAAUUCAUCUCCCGAAUCCAAUUAAUGGGUUUGGGACUCUAGCUGAUCUCUGUCAAAUCCACAGAAGUCUUCCAGAGGCAGCCACAAGACCUCCUUAUUUUUACUAUGAGAAUGUGGCAUUGACUCCUGAAGGAGUUUGAGGCACAAUAUCCCGCUUUUUGUAUGACGUGAAGCCUGUGCAGACUGAGCUAUGCAUUUAGUGAGAACAAAGAGUGAGAACAAAUCAUGCUAUGGUCUCAUAAGAAAAAGCCCUCGGUGCCUUUUUCGUUUGGUCUCUUUUAAGCUAUUUUUGGUUAAAAUGACAUUUUUUUUUUCCCGGAGUUCUUAGCAACUUGAUAUCUGAUGAGUAGAUGAGCUUUCAUUUUAACA